ensembl:lncRNA
UUUGCACAUUUUUUUGCCAAAGUUAGAAAAGAUCAGCCAUUUCAAAAGGUGCACAUGUCUGGAUUUUUCUAUAUGGUGAUCUUCUCAAAGUAGUGGUCAACACAAACUUACAAAUUCCCGGUGAAGAAGCAAAUUAGCAAAAAUUUUGUGGAUUAAACUUUUCAUAAAUAAUACUUAUUUUACCUGCUUUGAAUAUUUAAACUGGCUGUAUUAUUAUCAUCAUAGCAAUGUAUGAAAUAAAAACAAUGCAGCAGUGAGAGGGAUGCUUUUAGCAAAUGAUUGAAAGAGUUUUAUCACCCAAAGCUCGCUGAGGCUUUAUUUGCCUUUGCAGAAUGCAAACUGUUUACCUAUCCUGACAGGAAUGUUAGCGCUAAAGUAGCUUUGCUUGGGCACCAUCUGCAGCUGGAUAUAGAGACAGCUAUUUCAUCCAGCAGUUGGUAGAGACCAAAACAGUGCUGAAAGAAGUCAAACAGACCUUAUACUCUCCAAUUCUUUGGCCAUGCAUAACAAGAAAACAAACAUCUCCACGCAGUCACGACAAACUUGCUGGUUGGCUGAAGGCAAAUUUUAUGUUACUCAGAAGCUCGCAUAUUUGUGUACACAGAAAAUGUAACACCAGUGUAAAUGAUCCACUGUGACGACUGGGUAUGUAAAACAACUGUUAGCUAACAAGUUGAAAAAACAAAACAAAAACAAACAAUAUGUUAACUUGACCCCAAGCAACCAAAAUAACAAAAUAUAUACUACUGAAGUAAAAUAAUAAUAAUAAUAAUGAUAAUAAAAGAAACGAUUUCAUAGGAGUUAAUGGGUUUAAAAAAAAUCUGCUAAAAUGUGUUUUUAGUUAGAAGGGUUUAAAAAAAACUAUCAAAAAAACCCAAAACAAAACAAAAAAAAAACCAACCCAACCAUUCUUUGUGGUCCAAGUUGUCCUUAACGACAACGCUAACAUAUCAGUGAAAGACACAAAAUUAAAUAACACUACUUCCUCUGGUAUGACAGAGUGAGAACAUUUUGGCCAGUCCAAGCCAGCUCAUGGGGUACAAGAAAUGUUAAGCCUCAGCAAAAUGCUACCAAUCAUCCGCAGAAACAUCAAAGACUGCACACACAAGCAAGUGAACAAGACAAGUCCCACGGACUUUGGCCGGUGUUAUCUCCUCAGUCCUGUACAUUCAAACUCAUCAUUCGACCUUAUAAAACUGCUGAAAUUACUCAAGCGCAAAUGGUCAGAUGGCACUAUAAAACGCACUGUCCCAUAUUAAGAUACAUACAUAUCUAAAAGAUUAAAUAUCAAAUAAAAUUUCAUUGCAGCCAUAUGGACCUCCCUAUUAACAAUGCCAUGAGAUGAAUGUUCAGUUCAGUGUAGAUGAAAGAGAAUAUUAUAACAGAAACGUCUUCUCUAUUUCAAGGAGAGGAAACACAUGCUGUGACAACUUCCCCUUUCCGAAUAGCC